GGCCUACCAUGCAAGUCGGACGGUAGCACAGAGAGCUUGCUCUUGGGUGACGAGUGGCGGACGGGUGAGUAAUGUCUGGGGAUCUGCCCGAUAGAGGGGGAUAACCACUGGAAACGGUGGCUAAUACCGCAUAACGUCGCAAGACCAAAGAGGGGGACCUUCGGGCCUCUCACUAUCGGAUGAACCCAGAUGGGAUUAGCUAGUAGGCGGGGUAAUGGCCCACCUAGGCGACGAUCCCUAGCUGGUCUGAGAGGAUGACCAGCCACACUGGAACUGAGACACGGUCCAGACUCCUACGGGAGGCAGCAGUGGGGAAUAUUGCACAAUGGGCGCAAGCCUGAUGCAGCCAUGCCGCGUGUAUGAAGAAGGCCUUCGGGUUGUAAAGUACUUUCAGCGGGGAGGAAGGCGAUGUGGUUAAUAACCCCGAUUGACGUUACCCGCAGAAGAAGCACCGGCUAACUCCGUGCCAGCAGCCGCGGUAAUACGGAGGGUGCAAGCGUUAAUCGGAAUUACUGGGCGUAAAGCGCACGCAGCGGUCUGUUAAGUCAGAURUGAAAUCCCSGGCUUAACCUGGGAACUGCAUUUGAAACUGGCAGCUUGAGUCUUGUAGAGGGGGGGGGGUAGAAUUCCACGUGUAGCGGUGAAAUGCGUAGAGAUCUGGAGGAUACCGGUGGCGAAGGGCCCCCUGGACAAAGACUGACGCUCAGUGCGAACUGGGGGAGCAAACAGGAUAGAACCUGUAGUCACGCG
rnacentral:rRNA from 1 species